rnacentral:rRNA from 1 species
GGAAACCCCAUGUAUCGUAUAGUGAAUACAUAGCUAUACGAGGGUAAACCUAGGGAACUGAAACAUCUAAGUACCUAGAGGAAGAGAAAGAAAAAUCGAUUUCCUAAGUAGCGGCGAGCGAAAGGGAAAGAGCCCAAACCAAAGAUUUAUCUUUGGGGUUGCGGACAGAACAUUAACGAGAAGUCGUGAUUAACCGAACACAACUGGAAAGUUGGACCGUAGGAGGUAAUAGUCCUGUAGGUGAAAAUUAUGAUAAUCAAGUUCUGAUCCAGAGUACCACGAGACACGUGAAACCUUGUGGGAAGCAGGGAGGACCACCUCCCAAGGCUAAAUACUACCUGAUGACCGAUAGUGAAGCAGUACCGUGAGGGAAAGGUGAAAAGAACCCCGGGAGGGGAGUGAAAUAGAACCUGAAACCGUGUGCCUACAACCGGUCAAAGCCCCUUAUGAGGGUGAUGACGUGCUUUUUGUAGAACGAGCCAACGAGUUACGGUAUGUAGCAAGGUUAAGUACUUAAGGUACGGAGCCGAAGGGAAACCGAGUCUUAAUAGGGCGACUAGUUGCAUGCCGUAGACCCGAAACCGGGUGACCUAUCCAUGGCCAGGUUGAAGCGAGGGUAAAACUUCGUGGAGGACCGAACCACGUUGCUGUUGAAAAAGCAUGGGAUGAGCUGUGGAUAGCGGAGAAAUUCCAAUCGAACUCGGAGAUAGCUGGUUCUCCCCGAAAUAGCUUUAGGGCUAGCGUCGGAUAUGUGUAGUGGAGGUAGAGCACUGAAUGGGCUAGGGGGCAUAUCGCUUACCGAACCUUAUCAAACUCCGAAUGCCAUAUACAUUUAGUCCGGCAGUCAGACUACGAAUGAUAAGAUCCGUGGUCAAAAGGGAAACAGCCCAGAUCGUCAGCUAAGGUCCCAAAGUGUAAGUUAAGUGGAAAAGGAUGUGGGAUUUCUAAGACAACUAGGAUGUUGGCUUAGAAGCAGCCACUCAUUUAAAGAGUGCGUAAUAGCUCACUAGUCGAGAGAUCCUGCGCCGAAAAUGUACCGGGGCUAAACUUACCACCGAAGCUACGGGCUUGCGUAAGCAAGCGGUAGGGGAGCGUCGUAAUCGGGCUGAAGUCGUACCGUAAGGAGCGGUGGACUGAUUACGAGUGAGAAUGUUGGCAUUAGUAGCGAGAUGUAGGUGAGAAUCCUACAGGCCGAAUAUCUAAGGUUUCCUCAGGAAGGCUCGUCCGCUGAGGGUUAGUCGGGACCUAAGCCGAGGCCGAAAGGCGUAGGCGAUGGACAAUCGGUUGAUAUUCCGAUACCACUACCAUCGUUAUUAUCGAGGGUGUGACGGAGAAGGAUAGUGUGUGCUAGCGAUUGGAAAUGCUAGUCUAAGCGUUUAGGGAGUUACGGUAGGCAAAUCCGCUGUAACAAUUCUGAGGCGUGAUGGGGAAGGCCAUAUAGGCCGAAGUACAUGAUUCCAUGCUUCCAAGAAAAGCAUCUAGAGAGAGAAGUAGUGCCCGUACCGCAAACCGACACAGGUAGAUGAGGAGAGAAUCCUAAGGCCGGCGGAAGAAUUGCAGUUAAGGAACUAGGCAAAUUGACCCCGUAAGUUCGCGAGAAGGGGUGCCUGCGAGAGCAGGCCGCAGAGAAUAGGCCCAAGCAACUGUUUAGCAAAAACACAGGUCUCUGCUAAAGCGCAAGCUGAUGUAUAGGGGCUGACGCCUGCCCGGUGCUGGAAGGUUAAGGGGAACACUUAGCGCAAGCGAAGGUGUGAACUUAAGCCCCAGUAAACGGCGGCCGUAACUAUAACGGUCCUAAGGUAGCGAAAUUCCUUGUCAGGUAAGUUCU